GGAAUGAUUGGGGAGGCGGCUCACAAGCUCGGGAGUCAGUUUACCAGCGAGCAAGAAAGCGUCUUGGUGUUGCUGUCCUGGAUGAUUCUGAUCAUGAGAUGCCUGACAGCACAGAGGGUGCUUUGCCUGCAGUGACAAACGAUCACGACUAUGCCUGCCGUCCUUCUCCUGGUAAACUGGACAGUGCUACUCAAAGAAUUCGAGAGUUGGAGCUGCAAGUGUUGUCCCUAGAAAUUGAGAUCCAGCACCUGACAGUUAAGAAGCAGCAUCCACUCCUUUUUAAUUUUUGUGUCACAGAUGA